rnacentral:siRNA from 1 species
AUCAAUUCAUUCAAAGGUGGAAAC